AACAGGAUUUGAUACCCUGGUAGUCCAUGCCGUAAACGGUGGGCGCUAGGUGUGAGUCCCUUCCACGGGGUUCGUGCCGUAGCUAACGCAUUAAGCGCCCCGCCUGGGGAGUACGGCCGCAAGGCUAAAACUCAAAGGAAUUGACGGGGGCCCGCACAAGCGGCGGAGCAUGUGGAUUAAUUCGAUGCAACGCGAAGAACCUUACCUGGGCUUGACAUACACCGGAUCGCUGCAGAGAUGUAGUUUCCCUUGUGGCUGGUGUACAGGUGGUGCAUGGUUGUCGUCAGCUCGUGUCGUGAGAUGUUGGGUUAAGUCCCGCAACGAGCGCAACCCUUGUCUUAUGUUGCCAGCAUUUGGUUGGGGACUCAUGAGAGACUGCCGGGGUUAACUCGGAGGAAGGUGGGGAUGACGUCAAAUCAUCAUGCCCCUUAUGUCCAGGGCUUCACACAUGCUACAAUGGUCGGUACAACGCGUUGCGACACUGUGAGGUGGAGCUAAUCGCCUAAAGCCGGCCUUAGUUCGGAUUGGGGUCUGCAACUCGACCCCAUGAAGUCGGAGUCGCUAGUAAUCGCAGAUCAGCAACGCUGCGGUGAAUACGUUCCCGGGCCUUGUACACACCGCCCGUCACGUCAUGAAAGUUGGUAACACCCGAAGCCGGUGGCCCAAACUCGUUAGGGAGCUGUCGAAGGUGGGAUCGGCGAUUGGGACGAAGUCGUAACAAGGUAACC
rnacentral:rRNA from 1 species